GCCGAUAUAUGUCAGUGGUAGACGCCGUCCGUGGUAAGGACGGAGCCGUGGUUCAAUUCCACGUGUCGGCUCCA
rnacentral:tRNA from 1 species